CUAGGAAAACUUUACAAUGCGCGAAAGCGUGAUAAGGGAAUUCUGAGUGCUCAGGCUUAAGCCUGGGCUUUUGUCAAGAGUAAAAAUCUUGGCGAAUAAGUGGUGGGCAAGACUGGUGCCAGCCGCCGCGGUAACCCCAGCGCCACAAGUGGGAGCCACUUUUAUUGGGUCUAAAGCAUCCGUAGCCGGUCCUGUAAAUUUUCUGUGAAAUCGGCCAGCUCAACUGGUCGGCGGGCAGGGAAAACUGCAGGACUUGGGACCAGGAGAGGUCAGAGGUAUUCUGUGGGGAGCGGUAAAAUGCUAUAAUCCACAGAGGACCACCGAUGGCGAAGGCAUUUGACCAUAAUGGAUCCGACGGUGAGGGAUGAAAGCCAGGGGAGCGAUCCGG
rnacentral:rRNA from 1 species